GCUCUGGACAUGAAGCAAAGCUAACACUAGAGGGUGCUAUAGAUUAGGAAAUCCAGGGACCAUGGGCGCCGGAGCGCGUUCAAGACGCUGCCCUCCCGAUUGUAACCUAACAAACUGAGCGUGUCACUUUGCCAGAAUUUACCCCUUCACCAUUUCUGCUAUGAUGAAAUUAUCCAGAUAUGUUUAAUUUGAAAUUUUAACUUAGUCUGUGAUUAUGUGGAAUUUCAACACUGGCUGUGGCCCAGUGCAGUGGCUCACUCACACCUGUAAUCCCAGUGCUUUGGGAGGCCAAGUCUGGUGGAUAAUUUGUGGUCAGGAGUUCGAAACCAGCCUGGCCAACAUGGUGAAACCCUGUCUCUCCUAAAAAUACAGAAAUUAGCCUGGUGCCUGUAAUCCCAGCUACUCGGGAGGCUGAGGCAGGAGAAUUGCUUGAACCCUCAGGAGGCAGAGGUUGCAGUGAGCCGAGAUCACGCCACUGCACUCCAGUCCUGUCUAAAAAAAAAAAAAAAAAAAAAAAGGACUGAGCCCAGGUCUGUAGGAUAGACACUUUGUGUUUGUAUCUUAAGUACUUUGCGAUCUCACCCUUACAAACCUGAUACUAAAUUCCACUUACCUACUUCAGUCCUUCUCUGAGGGAAGGUGGAGUUUGGAGGCAAUUUUAGGAAGCAGGAUGAGGAAACAGGGAAGGUGACACAGUGAAGGACAAGCCAACACAAGGGUGGAUUACCAAGGCUGGUCCCCUCUACAGGCACCCAGGGCUCGGUCCCACGCGGACUGCUGAGUAGACAGAAGACCUUUCAGAAUCUUCUGCCUCUCCCCCAUUUGCUGAGAGUUCCCUGGGAACGGUAACCCCCGUACCUUCGGGCUGAACAUAUGUUUGCAUGCUGAAUGGGCUCUUUCUGCCAUCCCAUGCCACAGCAUUCAGGAAGCCCUGGGGCCAAAGCAAACAGCAUGCUUGAGGCAAGGUGCUGUGAGGCCCAAAUGAGCUGAAGCUUGCACAAAACUGCUCACCACUGCCAUAGCUGAAUCAGCGGAGGCCAGGAGGAUGCGAGGCGGUGCCCGUGAUUGUCUGAUCAUCUCCCUCUUGGACCGCUGAGACUCAGGCAUGCCCUGCAUCAAAUCCAACCUGUCACCAGGUCUUCAAGGGGGAGGCCUGCGGAAAUCCUACUGUGAAUGAAACUACAGUUGCUAUUCAUCGUCUCCCUCCUGCACCUACCACUCCAGAUGUCCCUCACUCUUGGCCAGCACUUUGGCUUGUUUAAGUUGUGUGCCAGGUGAGGUGACCACACCUUCCCCCCUGCAGUUUCUGAGUCUUUCCUGAGCUUUGUCUUGGUUGGCCCUUGGCUGCUGUGACUGCCUAUUUUAUCUAAUUGCAGGUUCAAGAUUCACCA
rnacentral:lncRNA from 10 species